rnacentral:lncRNA from 1 species
AUGGAGUUUGGUUUGGACAAAUGUUCGACAGUGGCAUUGAAGAAGGGAAAAAUCAUUGAAAGUGAGGGCAUAAAUAUGCCCAAUGGCCAAACAAUAAAGUGUCACCAGCCAGAGGCCUAUAAAUAUCUGGGCAUACUACAGCUGGACAACAUCAAGCAUGAACAUGUGAAAACUGUGGUCAGCAAAGAAUACACACAAAGGGUCAGAAAAAUUCUCAAAAGCAAGCUCAAUGGAGGCAACACCAUCAAGGCCAUAAACACCUGGGCCAUACCUGUCAUAAGAUAUACUGCUGGCAUUAUAAAUUGGACACAGGUGGAACUGGACAAUUUGGACAGAAAAACAAGAAAACUCAUGACCAUUCAUCAUUCACUGCACCCCCGCAGUGAUGUUGACCGGCUGUAUCUGCCUCGAAGAUCAGGGGGCAGAGGACUCUUACAAGUAAAGCAAGCAGUCAAAGAAGAAGAACAUGCCCUGGCAGAAUAUGUCAAGCAAAGUGAAGAACCUGCUUUGAUUGAAGUCAAAAAUCAGAAACUCCUCAAAACACAGCAGACAAAAAACCAGUACAAGAAAACCGCACUACAAACUAGAGCUGACAGCUGGCACAACAAAACACUGCAUGGAAAGUUCCUUGACAAAAUUGAAGGAAAAGCUGAUAAGGAGAAGACCUGGCUCUGGCUCACGAAUGGGACCCUGAAGAAGGAGACAGAAGGCCUGAUCCUUGCAGCCCAGGAGCAAGCCAUCAGAACAAAUGCAAUUAAGGCCAAGAUUGAAAAAUCAGCUGAUGACCCAAAAUGCAGACUGUGCAAGGAAACCGACGAAACCAUUGAUCAUAUCCUCAGCUGCUGUAAGAAAAUCGCACAGACAGACUACAAACAGAGGCACAACUAUGUGGCCCAAAUGAUUCAUUGGAACUUAUGCCUCAAGUACCACCUCCCAGCAGCAAAGAACUGGUGGGAUCACAAACCUGCAAAAGUAUUGGAAAAUGAACAUGCAAAGAUACUGUGGGACUUCCGAAUCCAGACUGACAAAGUUCUGGAACACAACACACCAGACAUCACAGUUGUGGAAAAGAACAAGGUUUGGAUCAUUGAUGUUGCCAUCCCAGGUGACAGUCGCAUAGAUGAAAAACAACAGGAAAAACUCAGCCGCUAUCAGGACCUCAAGAUUGAACUUCAAAGACUCUGGCAGAAACCAGUACAGGUGGUCCCGGUGGUGAUGGGCACACUGGGUGCUGUGCCAAAAGAUCUCACCCGGCAUUUGGAAACAAUAGACAUUGACAAAAUCACCAUCUGCCAACUGCAAAAGGCCACCCUACUGGGAUCUGCACACAUCAUCAGAAAAUACAUCACACAGUCCUAG